ensembl:rRNA 5S_rRNA 5S ribosomal RNA
GUCUACGGCUGUGCCGCCCUGAACACGCCCGAUCUUGUCUGAUCUCGGAAGCUAAGCAGGGUUGGGCCUGGUUAGUACUUGGAUGGGAGACAGUAUCCUACAGCACCUAGGAGGACCAGGUGCUGUAGGUG